AGUCAGACAAAAGAUGGAAACUAUUAGAUAAGAAUUACCAAACUGGCUAUUUUGAUAGCUAAAAAGUUUGUGUAAGAUAUUUAAAGCUAAAAUAAUGAUGGCAUGACCUGAUCGGGUUAUAUAUAUAUAUUGUUUAUUUUACAUCCCAAUU